rnacentral:sRNA from 1 species
UAAAGGAGGAAGGCAAAUGCGGAGCAUUUUUAAAAUGCCUUCCGACGACUUGCCCUCGAACGAAAGUGAGGGGGCGCUACAUUAU